CAGCCGUAAACUAUGCGCGUUAGGUGUACUGGUGACCACGAGUCACCGGGGUGCCGAAGGGAAACCGUGAAACGUGCCGCCUGGGAAGUACGGUCGCAAGGCUGAAACUUAAAGGAAUUGGCGGGGGAGGCACCACAACGGGUGGAGCCUGCGGUUUAAUUGGACUCAACGCCGGAAAUCUCACCGGAUAAGACAGCAGAAUGAUUGCCGGGCUGAAGACUCUGCAUGACUAGCUGAGAGGAGGUGCAUGGCGUCAGUGACU
rnacentral:rRNA from 1 species